GGGGAUUUAGCUCAGCGGCCUAAGUACCUGCCUUGCAAGCAGACGGUCAUGAGUUCAAUCCCCA
rfam:Cavia porcellus supercont2_4 genomic scaffold, whole genome shotgun sequence.